UCCCUCCCUCCUUCCCCUCUCCCUCCCCUCCCCCCUCCCUCCAAGGCCCACCUGUAUAAUAGUAAAAGACAGAGACCGGUAUGAAAGGUGUAAACAGGAAGUCAGGUCAGACACGGUCUAGAACGAGACAGAGAGGAUGUUGGUCAUAAACCAAACCAGUAUACAUCAUAGUAGACAACCGAACAUCGUGGGCUACAUCCCAAAAUGCCCCCCUAUUUCCUAUAUAGUGCACUACCCACAGGGCUCUGGUUAAAAGUAGUGCACUAUGUAAGGAAUAGGGGCCAUUUGGGAGGCAGGGGGUAUGAGCUGUAGGUGGAGAUCCACUUGUCUACCUGUGAUGUAAUCUGAUGUUCUCCACUACAGUGUGUUAACUGAAGGGGAUCAGAUGAAGUUAAACACGUGGGACUCACUCAUACAGUGAAGUUGGAGUAUGGAGAUGUAUUUACACCCCAUAGUGUGAGAGGUACAUUCUAGACGGUUAUUCUAAAGUGUUCUAUUCUGGAAAUUGCCAGUUCAACAAGGUUUCAAGGAGCAGCCCUUUGUAAUGUUAGUUAUCAGUUAGAAUGUUUGACAACAGUGUGUCUCAUACUCCUCAACAAGUUACCAUCUUCUAAGUUCUAGUUCUAGAAUGACCAUCUUCUAAGUUCUAGUUCUAGAAUGACCAUCUUCUAAGUUCUACAUCUAGAAUGACCAUCUUCUAAGUUCUACAUCUAGAAUGACCAUCUUCUAAGUUCUACAUCUAGAAUGACCAUCUUCUAAGUUCUACAUCUAGAAUGACCAUCUUCUAAGUUCUACAUCUAGAAUGACCAUCUUCUAAGUUCUACAUCUAGAAUGACCAUCUUCUAAGUUCUACAUCUAGAAUGACCAUCUUCUAAGUUCUAGUUCUAGAAUGUAUCUAUCUCAGUUUGCUCUUUACAUCUGCAUUUCUGUUACUGUGUCUUUCAGUUGCCUUCUGUCUCUGUUAUACUUGACACACCUGAGCUGUUAUUGGAUUAAUGUAAAACAACAUGGUUUCACACUGUCUGGAGGUGUUUUACAGGGAAGAUGGGUUACCAUGGUAACAUAUCAACAGACAACUGUUGUUUUCUCAGGUUUGUCCUUAUAUUUGCUCUAUUUUUCAAUGCUGCUUGAAUGUCAUUUUCCCCAAUGUCUGCCUCUGCCUUUGCAUAUUGAGAGAGUUGCUCUUUAAAAGAUACGCCAUUCACCAUGUAUCAACCAUCUUCCAUUAAACAUCAUGUGAACAUCAUGAGGAAACCUGUUGUCUGGCUAUGAUGAAGAACAUGUGAUUGUGAUGUGUACAAUAUGUUCUGUAGUAGUCGCUACAGGACAAAGUCCAUUGGAAGUAGCCUACACAGUGUCUUUACCUCUCUGGCAGGUAGCGGCCCUGAGACAUCUCUAUACAGUAGAGGGUCAACUGGGUUUGAGGUUUAGUAUCUUAAUGGGCGCCAUGUUAGCACCCGAAGUAUCAUGACAUGAUUAUUCCAGUCAGAAUGUAAAUUAGAAUGUUAUGAUGGUGAUUGGUUAGCCUGGGUAUCAGUAUGUUUGUUGCAUCAUGUCACUCCUUGCCACUUCUUGGCAUCCAAACAUGACAAUGAAUGGAAUGAUGGCACACACUGAUCUGGGAGCAGCAGGUUAGACACUGAUCUGGGAGCAGCAGGUUAGCGUUUGGUGCCAACAUGGAGGUUAGACACUGAUCUGGGAGCAGCAGGUUAGACACUGAUCUGGGAGCAGCAGGUUAGACACUGAUCUGGGAGCAGCAGGUUAGACACUGAUCUGGGAGCAGCAGGUUAGACACUGAUCUGGGAGCAGCAGGUUAGCGUUUGGUGCCAACACAGAGGUUAGUUUGCUGAAGUGUAGUGUAUAUCUGUUGCUCAGGGUCACGGUCCCCCUUUAACACCAAGCAUGAGGCCUGAAGGCAUCGACUGACUCGGGAAACACACUCAUCAAACAAAAAAGAACCCUGUUCCAUCUAUAACGUGACCCUUCUGUCCUGUAACUCAGUGGAUGAGGUCUUCAAGAUUUGAUCGAUUCUGUCCUUUCCCAAAAACGUCCUUGUCACUAUUGUGUAAAGUCUUAUGGUGUUGUAAGUGUUGAUGAUAAUGAUCAUGAUAUUGAUGAUGCCAUUCAAAAUGGUGGUGAACCCAGAAGUAACUGUAAUGUGGGCUUGUUGAGUGUUGCAUGGUCUCAGAUCUCUUCUUUAAAGACUGUUUUACUGUCACGUUGUGAUUUGAAAAGAAAACCAAUAUGCAGAUUGAAAUGGGUUGGCAAGGAUACCGCAGAUAUUUACAGGGAUUAUGAUCAAAAAUAGCUUUGUUAUUAUUACUGUGGCUGUGUUCCAAAUGGCCCCCUAUUCCCUUUAUAGUGUGUUAACCUGGACCCAUAGAGAGGCAUUCUAUUCCCUUUAUAGAGUGUUAACCUAGACCCAUAGAGAGUCAUUCUAUUCCCUUUAUAGAGUGUUAACCCAUAGAGAGUCAUUCUAUUCCCUUUAUAGAGUGUUGACCUGGACCCAUAGAGAGUCAUUCUAUUCCCUUUAUAGAGUGUUAACCCAUAGAGAGUCAUUCUAUUCCCUUUAUAGUGUGUUAACCUGGACCCAUAGAGAGUCAUUCUGUUCCCUUUAUAGUGUGUUAACCUGGACCCAUAGAGAGUCAUUCUAUUCCCUUUAUAGAGUGUUGACCUGGACCCAUAGAGAGUCAUUCUGUUCCCUUUAUAGUGUGUUAACCUGGACCCAUAGAGAGUCAUUCUGUUCCCUUUAUAGUGUGUUAACCUGGACCCAUAGAGAGUCAUUCUAUUCCCUUUAUAGUGUGUUAACCUGGACCCAUAGAGAGUCAUUCUGUUCCCUUUAUAGUGUGUUAACCUGGACCCAUAGAGAGUCAUUCACAGGGUGAUUAACAGGACAAACACAAUGUUAGAUUCAGAUGUAUACAGAUGAUUAGGUGUUGUCUGGUCUAUACAGGGCUUUGGUUAAAAGUAGUGCACUAUAUAGGGAAUAGGGCUCUGGUCUAAAGUAGUGCACUAUAUAGGCAAUAGGGCUGUAGUAUAAAGUAGUGCAUUAUAUAGGGAAUAGGGCUCUGGUUAAAGGUAGUGCACUAUAUAGGCAAUAGGGCUCUGGUUAAAGGUAGUGCACUAUAUAGUGAAUAAGGGACCAUUUUGGACACAGCCUCUGUGAGUUUGGUUGGGCACAAGCCUGGGCCUGUGUGUAAAGUACUGUGAGUUUGGUUGGGCACAAGCCUGGGCCUGUGUGUAAAAUACUGCUGCAUCCUAAAGUGUUGGUAUUCCAGCAACUUGUAUCUUUUAAUAAAGGUGAUUUAAUCAGCCA